GCAAGCAAAAGCUAGACAGAGUAGGCUUACAUAAUUUGUAAAUAAAAGGCUGCCUUGAAAAUAGGACCUUUUUCUUUUGAUGUGGCUUUGCGUCCAAAUUAUUUAUCAUUUUUAAAUAAUUACUUUUAUGUAAAGUGGCAGUUUUAACAUCCAUGCUAGGCUUUCAGAUGCCUAAAGAAGUGAAAACCUGUCUAGCUCAGAAGAGAAUCUGCCUGCUCUUUGCCACCUUAUGAGCAACACUCAUUUAAGUAUUCGUUUGUUAUUGCUUUACUUACAUUUUAAUCUGCAGUAUUUCAUGUUUACUAGAUCAGCAAAUAAUCAAGGUCUUUAGAUUUUAUUUUUUUUUGGAAUGUAUCUUAUUCCUCUGAAAAAAAUAAAAAUAAAAAUAAAAAGUUAAAUGCCUCUAUUUAAAUAGCUUUUAUCGCUGUAUGCAAAGUACAAACAAAAUGUAAACAGUUUCUUCUUCUAAUCCACAUCUGCCUGGGUGUAAUUACAUGAUACAUGCUGGUUAAGCACAAAAAUUUUGAAUAGACAGCUUUUUAAUUAGGCAUGUGCAUUGGGUCAGAGUAGAAUUAAAAUGGGUUCUAAAAAAUUGAUUUUAUAAAAAUGGCACCUGCUUACUCAACAGAUCUAGUUCUCGGGUAAAGUUCCAGUCACAUGCCCAAGUUAAAUCUUCCUCUUUGUAGAGAAAGGAAAGUUCUGAGCUGGGAUAAUAAAUUCUGUUCUGCCUCAUACAUCAGUCCUGCCAAAGACAGGGGUAAAUUUUAGUCUGAGUUAACCACUUGUGUAAUGGUCCUUUGUAGAAUUACUGACUUCAAAAUGUGAUAAACUGCUGGUUUGCCUCUAUUUUGCUCAAGUGUAAUUAAGAGGAAAAUUUGGGACUAUCUAACCCAAGUCUGAGUGCCUGGAUGCCCAGAAAUACACUUUGAUUUCACAUUUGUCAGAUAGAGUAACCAAUCAUUUUUAUUGUACUCUGUUUUUCCCCACAAAACUCAGUUCCCAGAGUCCAGUGCUUGAAUGACAGAUCUGUAGAUAGCAGCAUCCUGUCAGCUUUGCAGUUUGUUAGCACAUGGGUAAACCUUUCUGUAGGAGGUUAAGACUGGGAAAUAGUUCUCCUGUGCUGAAUGGACAGUUCAGCAUGCUCACAUACCUCGCAUAGCAAGUGGUCCUGAAAUUAUUUCUGAAUACAAAGGCAGCUACGCAUUAUGUCUCCCAGCAGCUUUUUUUGUUUCACUAUGGCUGCAGCAAUACCAUCUAUGAGAUAAAAUUGUUAUAGAGCUAACAAUAAAGUGGUCAAUUUUAAAUGUAUAGCUCUCUUCCAGUCUGUAGCUGUGGCUAUUAUGUGCGUGCACAUCUCCCAGGUUACACUCUUGGUAAAUUUUAGCAGUUAAUUUAAUAGUCCUUUUUAAAAGAAAUAAGACUUUUUUUUUUUUUUUUUUCUGGCAGGUAUUUUAUUAUUAAUAAGCAAUAGCCAUUUUAUGCUGUAAUCUCCUUUAAGAAGUGAUUAUAAUUUGUAAAUUUUAUUUUCAAUCCAGGCAUAAUUAAGUAAUUAAUAUUAGCAAAAUUAGGUCUAACUUAAA